AUUGAACGCUGGCGGCAGGCCUAACACAUGCAAGUCGAGCGGAUGACGGGAGCUUGCUCCUUGAUUCAGCGGCGGACGAGUGAGUAAUGCCUAGGAAUCUGCCUGGUAGUGGGGGACAACGUUUCGAAAGGAACGCUAAUACCGCAUACGUCCUACGGGAGAAAGCAGGGGACCUUCGGGCCUUUCGCUAUCAGAUGAGCCUAGGUCGGAUUAGCUAGUUGGUGGGGUAAUGGCGCACCAAGGCGACGAUCCGUAACUGGUCUGAGAGGAUGAUCAGUCACACUGGAACUGAGACACGGUCCAGACUCCUACGGGAGGCAGCAGUGGGGAAUAUUGGACAAUGGGCGAAAGCCUGAUCCAGCCAUGCCGCGUGUGUGAAGAAGGUCUUCGGAUUGUAAAGCACUUUAAGUUGGGAGGAAGGGCAGUAAGUUAAUAUCUUGCUGUUUUGACGUUACCGACAGAAUAAGCACCGGCUAACUCUGUGCCAGCCGCCGCUGUAAAAC
rnacentral:rRNA from 1 species